rnacentral:rRNA from 1 species
UACGGGGGGGGCAAGCGUUGUUCGGAAUUACUGGGCGUAAAGGGCGCGUAGGCGGUCGAACAAGUCAGCUGUGAAAACCACGGGCUUAACUCGUGGCCUGCAGUUGAAACUGUUUGGCUAGAGUGUGGGAGAGGAGAGUGGAAUUCCUGGUGUAGCGGUGAAAUGCGCAGAUAUCAGGAAGAACACCCGUGGCGAAGGCGGCUCUCUGGGACGGUACUGACGCUGAGACGCGAAAGCGUGGGGAGCGAACAGG